rnacentral:rRNA from 1 species
GACUGUAUAGCUAGAGUACGGCAAAGGGGGAUGGAAUUCCGCGUGUAGCAGUGAAAUGCGUAAAUAUGCGGAGGAACACCGAUGGCGAAGGCAAUCCCCUGGGCCUGUACUGACGCUCAUGCACGAAAGCGUGGGGAGCAAACAGGAUUAAAUACCCUGGUAGUCCACGCCCUAAACAAUGUCAACUGGUUGUUGGGUCUUCACUGACUCAGUAACGAAGCUAACGCGUGAAGUUGACCGCCUGGGGAGUACGGCCGCAAGGUUGAAACUCAAAGGAAUUUGACGGA